UUGGAUGCCAGGCUUUCUAGGUAGCGCUCUCUCUUUGUGACGCUCUCAGCUACUGUUCCAGCACCAUGCCUGCCUGCCUGCUGCCAUGCUGCCUACCAUGAUGGUCAUGGACUCACCCUCUGACACUUGUUGGAUGGCGUGAAUGGGCGAGUAAGCAUAUAAGAGCUUCCUGCUGCUCUUGGGUCUUCUCACGUGGCCUGUUGCUGCUUUGUUCUGGGACUGGACUAUCAGAAGCAAACAACAUCUUGACGCAUGACGUUAACCUUACGUAAGACGAUCUCACCAGCCUUCUCGGUGCAGAGAAUUCUUCCCUCUCUACAGCCUGUGUACGCUGUGGGAGUAGCAGAAUGAUAUACAGCCAACUGUUACUGAGCACCAGACUGCAGAUACAAUGUAACCAGCCUGCGGUGCUUCCUGUGCCACGAUGGACCAACCACAUCCUCCAGCCGCGGGUGUAGAGUGAUGACGGAGGAUGAUGGAGUUGGUUCCCUGCUGGUGCUCGCGUCCUAUAAAAGCCAAUCCCUUACGAGCUGAUUGCCUUCCAUUAAAUUUGGGGUCGCUGCAUUCGUGCUCGCCUCCUGCUGCACACGGCUUCCUUGC
ensembl:antisense Gm13707 predicted gene 13707